rnacentral:ncRNA from 1 species
CGGAUAGAGGCGCGGCAUACAUGCGUACCGCGGGACACCCGGCCCUGGCAGGCCGUCCCGUGGGAGAGGGUCUGCCGCCGAAGGUUUCCGUUUUGCCAGUGAACGGGGGCCUGGGCCGUGGGGAGAAUAUCCCCCGGACUGUCACAAUGCAGUGGAGCGCUAUCCA